rnacentral:lncRNA from 1 species
UGCCUGCCUUCUCUGAGAGGCUGACAGGAUUCAUUAUAGCAUCUCCUUGGAAACCAUUCCAGCAUUCGAGCUGCUGAGAAACCUCAAGAACACUGUAUAUGGAAGACACAGUAUUGUGACCUAAUAAAAAGAACCCCGGACUUGGAAGCACCAGAAGACUGGGAUUUUUGUCGUUGCUGUUGCUAUUUUGUCCCUGCUCUUCCUCUUGGCUCUGUGAUCUCUAGCAAAUCUCUUAAUUUCUCUGGAUCUCAAUCUCCUCAUCUGUCAAAUAAGGAUCACGAAUUCUGAUUUGUGUCUUGGGAUGAUGGGAUGGGAUGAGAUGACACGAUGAUGACAGGAUGAAACGAGAUAAGAUCUAUGAAAGAACUUUUUAAAAGUUUUAAAGUACUACACAAAUGGAAAGUAUUAUUAUCUCAUGGUCUGAUAUUGUAUUAAGCAAAGCUGAUUCAAAUAAAUCAUUUGCUGGUUAUGUUUAUAUAUACGAU